AGAAGAUCAAUCCCUUUCUCUCU
rnacentral:sRNA from 1 species